GGCCAGAUAGUCAAGCGGUAAGACGUCCAUCUCUCAAUUAUCAGCCGGUUUUUGGAUGAUAUCCAAAUUCGCCGUUGACAAGCCUCCGAGUUUGUGGUUGAGAACAGAUGGGAAUCCUCGGUUCGAAUCUGGGUCUGGCUA
rnacentral:tRNA from 1 species